GCGGUGACCGCGUCCGCCCGCCGGGAGCCGCGGGGCGCGCAGCCUUCCUGAUGUGUCACCAGCACGUGGAGCCAGGAGUGCACUCGGCAGAGAGCUCUGUGGUGCCCGGCCCGGAGAGGGUUCGGUGAAGGGCGGGCGCGCUGCGCUGCUCAGGAAGUGACACUCGAUCUGAACGUGCGGAUGGAGCCCGCCUUCCUUGAUCCUCCAUGGACCACCUUUCCCGACAGCCUCCUCUCUGGCCCUCCUGCCCCAGCCGAACCGUGCUGGGAUGGUGAUUCUGGGUUAGAAAGUCCAGCUCUUGGUUCUGGAUUCCUCCCUGGUCUGCACCGUGAGGCCCAGCGCCCAUGCGGCCUUCUGCCCCGCUGGGGGUUUGUCCUGCAGGUCCAGAUGCUGCCAGCGCCAAGGCGUUCCCGCUGGGCCUGGGCCAGAGUGGCCGCCGCAGAGCUCCUCCCUCCCUGCCAGCCUCCUCGGAGUGCUCCCUCCCCCAGCACAGGCAGGAAGGGCUUUCUGGGCGGCUUGACUGGUGGGGAAGCAAUUAGUGCUCGCUUUCUGUUUUGACUCUGGUGUCUAGCAGAGUCUGUGACAUCACAGAAAAGCAGCCUUGGGCUUGCGUGAGUUUGGGAUCUGUCCCUGACACCCUGGCCAUCGAGGAGUUGUCUGGGAGUAGGGGUGGGCACUCCCACUGCCCCCUGGGUAUGAGGUGGCCAUCUGCUGGCUUUCCAUGGCCUUUCAAGGGACCACCUCUCCCCUACUCUGUAUCCCUGUGGUUCAGGUAGGACCAGCCCCACCACUGGCUUUAGACACAGGCAUGCGAUCCAGGCCUGGGCAUGGGUUCUUGAGACCCUGCUGUGGGCCUUCUGCAGCAGCUAUGGGGAAAGAGGCAUCCUCUUCAUGUGGGAGUUGCUAGGUUGACAGGAUGGGAGCUUGGAACUGCUGCUGGCUAUCCUGUCCUCCGCUCGAGAACAAAGGCAACAAAGAAGAAAGAGAACUAAGAGUUGGAACGUAUGCUGUCCAGAUGUCCUUGAGCCCCUGGAUCCAGCCAUGCCUGAGGUGAACUCUGCCCGUGGACUAAACUGAUUACAUGAGCCAGUGCAUUGCUCUUUUUCUAAAACCGGCCUGAAAUGGGUUUCUGUCACAGAAAGGGUCCUAAUAGAGGUAAUGUUUUUCCUUGGUCUUAUUUUUUUUUAAAAUCAGCUUCAUUGAGGUAUACUUUACAUGUAAUGAAACCCACCCGUUUUAAAUGUAUGACUCACACGUUUUGUCAAAUGUGUACACCCUUGUAACCACCACCACAAUUAAGAUCUAGAACAUGUCUUAUCUCCUGGGGGACAUGGUCAGUCCCUCAGACCUCAGACAACCACUGCUCUGCCUUUGGUCUGGAGUCUCAUUUUGCCUUUUCUACAAUUUCAUAUAAAGAUUUUCACGGAGCGUG